GCUGAGAUAGCCAAGCCCGGUUACGGCGGUGGUCUCGAAAACCACUGUUCGCAAGAACGCGGGGGUUCGAAUCCCCCUCUCAGCACCA
rnacentral:tRNA from 1 species